CAUUCACGGAGAGUUUGAUCCUGGCUCAGGACGAACGCUGGCGGCGUGCUUAACACAUGCAAGUCGAACGAUGAAAUCACUUCGGUGGUGGAUUAGUGGCGAACGGGUGAGUAACACGUGGGCAAUCUGCCCUUCACUCUGGGACAAGCCCUGGAAACGGGGUCUAAUACCGGAUAACACUCUGUCCCGCAUGGGACGGGGUUGAA
rnacentral:rRNA from 1 species